GAUGAACGCUGGCGGCGUGCUUAACACAUGCAAGUCGAACGAUGAAGCCCAGCUUGCUGGGUGGAUUAGUGGCGAACGGGUGAGUAACACGUGAGUAACCUGCCCUUAACCCUGGGAUAAGCCUGGGAAACUGGGUCUAAUACCGGUUAGGAGCGUCCACCGCAUGGUGGGUGUUGGAAAGUUCUAUCGGUUUUGGCUGGACUGGCGGCCUAUCAGCUUGUUGGUGAGGUAAUGGCUUACCAAGGGGACGACGGGUAGCCGGCCUGAGAGGGUGACCGGCCACACCAGGACUGAGACACGGCCCAGACUGCUACGGGAGGCAGCAGUGGGGAAUAUUGCACAAUGGGCGGAAGCCUGAUGCAGCGGCGCCGCGUGAGGGAUAACGGCCUUCGGGUUGUAAACCUCUUUCAGUAGAGAAGAAGCGAAAGUGACGGUACCUGCAGAAGAAGCACCGGCUAACUACGUG
rnacentral:rRNA from 1 species